GACGAACGCUGGCGGCGUGCUUAACACAUGCAAGUCAGGGGGUGGGGCGAACCCAUCACCGGCGAACGGGUGCGUAACACGUGAGCGACCUGCCCUGGUGUGGGGGAGUAGCCGGCCCAACGGCCGGGUAAUACCGCAUACGACACGGCCCGGGCAUCCGGGCGGUGUGAAGCCUUUUGGGCACUAGGAGGGGCUCGCGGCCUAUCAGCUAGUUGGCGAGGUAACGGCUCACCAAGGCGAUGACGGGUAGCUGGUCUGAGAGGAUGGCCAGCCACAUUGGGACUGAGACACGGCCCAAACUCCUACGGGAGGCAGCAGUGGGGAAUAUUGGACAAUGGGCGCAAGCCUGAUCCAGCCAUGCCGCGUGAGUGAUGAAGGCCCUAGGGUUGUAAAGCUCUUUUGUGCGGGAAGAUAAUGACGGUACCGCAAGAAUAACGCCCCGGCUAACUUCGUGCCAGCAGCCGCCGU
rnacentral:rRNA from 1 species